UACGUAGGGGGCAAGCGUUGUCCGGAAUUAUUGGGCGUAAAGCGCGUGUAGGCGGUUCGGUAAGUCUGCUGUGAAAGUCCAGGGCUCAACCCUGGAAUGCCGGUGGAUACUGUCGAGCUCGAGUCCGGAAGAGGCGAGUGGAAUUCCUGGUGUAGCGGUGAAAUGCGCAGAUAUCAGGAGGAACACCAAUGGCGAAGGCAGCUCGCUGGGACGGUACUGACGCUGAGACGCGAAAGCGUGGGGAGCAAACAGG
rnacentral:rRNA from 1 species